rnacentral:RNase_P_RNA from 1 species
GCGAUGCAUCGUGCCGCCGCGCCGCUCUUGAGAGCGGUGAGGAAAGUCCGGGCUCCGCAGGGCAUGAUGCCGGGUAACGCCCGGGCGGGUUUUAAACCCGACAGCAAGCGCAACAGAAAGCAGACCGCCGUCCCGCUUGCGCGGGGCGGUAAGGGUGAAACGGCAGGGUAAGAGCCUACCGCGGAACCGGCGACGGUUCCGGCGCGGCAAGCCUCAUCAGGAGCAAAGUCAAACGGCGGCGGAACUGCCCGUUUAUGCCGCGGGUAGACUGCGUGGAUCUGCGCCGUAAGGCGCAGACAAGAUAGAUGGCGGCAACUCAAGGUCCCUGAGCUUGAGGCUCAAAGGUCUUUGAGAACAGAACCCGGCUUAUGAUGCAUCGCUUUU